AUUGAACGCUGGCGGCAGGCCUAACACAUGCAAGUCGAACGAGUGGCGGACGGGUGAGUAAUGUCUGGGAAACUGCCUGAUGGAGGGGGAUAACUACUGGAAACGGUAGCUAAUACUGCAUACCAUAGGAUGUGCCCAAAGGGGAUUAGCUAGUCGGUGGGGGAACGGCUCACUUAGGCGCCGAUCCCUACCUGGUCUGAGAGGAGGACCAGCCACACUGGAACGAAGACACGGUCCAGACGCCUACGGGAGGCAUCAGUGGGGAAUAUUGCACAAUGGGCGCAAGCCUGAUGCAUCCAUGCCGCGUGUAUGACGAAGGCCUUCGGGUUGUAAAGUACUUUCAGCGGGGAGGCGUUACCCGCAGAAGAAGCACCGGCUAACUCCGUGCCAGCAGCCGCGGUAAUUC
rnacentral:rRNA from 1 species